GGUUGCGAUCAUACCAGCACUAAUGCACUGGAUCCCAUCAGAACUCCGCAAUUAAGCGUGCUUGGGCGAGAGUAGUACUAGGAUGGGUGACCCCCUGGGAAGUCCUCGUGUUGCAACCC
rnacentral:rRNA from 1 species